UGCGCAGGCGGAAGAUUAAGUCAGAGGUGAAAGCCCGGGGCUCAACUCCGGAAUUGCCUUUGAAACUGGGAGACUUGAACACGGGAGAGGUGAGUGGAAUUCCGAGUGUAGAGGUGAAAUUCGUAGAUAUUCGGAGGAACACCAGUGGCGAAGGCGGCUCACUGGACCGUUGUUGACGCUGAGGUGCGAAAGCGUGGGGAGCAAACAGGAUUAGAUACCCCCGUA
rnacentral:rRNA from 1 species